AUUGCUAUAAAGCAAAAAUAAAGUUUUAUUAUGACAUUAAAAAUAUAUGCUGAAAAAAAAUUAUGUGGAUUUCAAUAAAGUUUUAUUAUGACAUUAAAAUAAAGUUCUUUUCUUUUCAUUUUCAUAUAGCUUUAAAUUUCAUUUUUCGGUAUAUUUUUUCACUUUUAGGUUUAGUGGUUGUAAAUUUGAGGCGGCGAAAGGUGUAACAUCGAUAUAUGGUGAUGCGGAGGUUCCUUUGCAUCAUGACCUAGCUUUGUGGAGGUAGAUGCAGGUCGUGAUCCCCAAAUUUUCUGUUAUCUCCCAAGUUUUCUUUUCGGUUUUUGGUUUCAGUAGCGAGGCGGCUGCAGCUUUCUCGUGAGGAGGUGACUGAUUGUUCUGAAGUUUUGUUGGAGAUUAGAUCCAUGAAUCUUACCUCUCUGCUAUUAGUUUCUUUGAGGACAUUGGCUUGAGCAUGGGGAACUCGGGUUUUCUGAUGGAGGUGGUGGAGGUAAAUUGGUUGUGGAACGUGGCUUCGGCCCCUCUACAUACCGGUUCUGCAUCGGCAAAGACUCUUCAAUUUGUAUGCUUUUGUUUGGUCUUCGUUUCAUUUUUUUUUUCAUCGAUAUGUUAUGUUUUUUUUAUUUAUUUUUUCGAUGGAAUUUACCCUUCUCUUCUUCAAUUUUCUUGUCUAGUUCUUUUUGAAAAUUACCUCUUCGUCCAGUUCGGGAUAAAUGGAGUUUUCGAAGAACAACAGUUUUAGUUGAUGUAGCUGCUGCAGUAGAGGUUUAACUUUGGGCUCGUUUUAUAUUUUGAACUGGUUUGUUCUAGUUUUAGCUCGUUUUUAUUUUCAGCUGUCAUUGUAUGUUUAAAUAACCAAGAAAUGAUAUGAAUAGCUUAAAAUAUAUGUAAUUCAAUAAAUUUGGAACACCGAAAAUUAUAAAGGAAACUUUGCAUC
rnacentral:lncRNA from 1 species